AGUUGUCUCCCUAGAGAAAGCUACCACCUGUGGCAGCAAGGGGAAUGUCCAGCGCCUGAGUUGUGAUGACUGAGUGAUCAGUGUGCAGACAGCACUGUAUGGACGUGCAGACGCUGUGACCUGCAGUGAGGGAAGACCUCCGGCACAGCUCUCCAAUACACACUGCUCUCAAGCUGGCACAGUGGACGUUGUCAAGAAAAGGUGUGAUGGCAAGAGGGAGUGUGAACUAAACAUCAAUAUAUUUACUACUUCUGAUCCCUGCAAACGCAUCUACAAAUACCUGAACACCACAUACACCUGCCUCCCAGCAACUGUAAUGGGGAAAAACGGCUGUACCAUCGCAGCGAGCAACUCUGUGUUUGGAAACCCCUGCGUCGGCACUUACAAGUACCUGGAGGUGGCUUACACAUGUAACUGACAAUCCUGAGACCUCUCCACUUACUUUACCUAUGUAAGCAUACUGAAGUUUCAGUCAUAUCACAAUAAACAUGCAUUAAAUAAA